GACGAACGCUGGCGGCGUGCCUAAUACAUGCAAGUAGAACGCUGAAGGAGGAGCUUGCUUCUCUGGAUGAGUUGCGAACGGGUGAGUAACGCGUAGGUAACCUGCCUGGUAGCGGGGGAUAACUAUUGGAAACGCUAGCUAAUACCGCAUAAGAGUAGAUGUUGCAUGACAUUUGCUUAAAAGGUGCAAUUGCAUCACUACCAGAUGGACCUGCGUUGUAUUAGCUAGUUGGUGGGGUAACGGCUCACCAAGGCGACGAUACAUAGCCGACCUGAGAGGGUGAUCGGCCACACUGGGACUGAGACACCGCCCAGACUCCUACGGGAGGCAGCAGUAGGGAAUCUUCGGCAAUGGACGGAAGUCUGACCGAGCAAAGCCGCGUGAGUGAAGAAGGGUUUCGGAUCGUAAAGCUCUGUUGUAAGAGAAGAACGAGUGUGAGAGUGGAAAGUUCACACUGUGACGGUAUCUUACCAGAAAGGGACGGCUAACUACGUG
rnacentral:rRNA from 1 species